rnacentral:lncRNA from 1 species
CUGAUGAUAAACACGCUACAGGCAGAGACUCAUAAUGACAGUAGCAACGUGAUCAUGGAAUUAAUGCAGAGGUGACUUCACACUCUCAGCCACUCCAUGGGACAGGAAAGGUGUCUGGCAGUUACACUCCACGUGCACCCAAGGAACCAUAACCUAUGUGACCUCAUUUCUUUGGAAGACGGUUUCAUCUUCCCCCACCACCAAGUCCUACGU